GUGCUUGCCUCGACGGCACAUAUACUAAAAUUGGCACGAUACAGAGAAGAUUGGCAUGCCCCCUGUGCAAACAGGAUACGCAAAUUCGUGAAGCGUUCCAUAUUUUA
ensembl:snRNA U6 U6 spliceosomal RNA